CCUGUCUGCACUACCUGGCCGCCCAGCAUCGCAGCCAUCCGAGCCCUCUGGAUUGCACUUCCGCUGCAGGCAAGCAGACCACGAUCAUUCUCCGGACAUCUCUCACUGCCGGAUCAUUCUCCAAACACCCAAGCUCCCGGUCUUUCCGCAUUGCUGUUUCCCUCCGGACCUGAGUAUUUGUUCAUUACAAUUCAUUGUACAAUAAACCCAUUUAACUGA